rnacentral:rRNA from 1 species
AUUCCGGUUGAUCCCGCCGGAGGCCAUUGCUAUCGGAGUCCGAUUUAGCCAUGCUAGUCGCGCGGGUUUAGACCCGCGGCAUAUAGCUCAGUAACACGUGGCCAAACUACCCUACAGACCGCGAUAACCUCGGGAAACUGAGGCCAAUAGCGGAUAUUACUCUCAUGCUGGAGUGCAGAGAGUGAGAAACGUUCCGGCGCUGUAGGAUGUGGCUGCGGCCGAUUAGGUAGAUGGUGGGGUAACGGCCCACCAUGCCCAUAAUCGGUACAGGUUGUGAGAGCAAGAGCCUGGAGACGGUAUCUGAGACAAGAUACCGGGCCCUACGGGGCGCAGCAGGCGCGAAACCUUUACACUGCACGAGAGUGCGAUAGGGGGACUCCGAGUGCGAGGGCAUAUAGUCCUCGCUUUUCUGUACCGUAAGGUGGUACAGGAACAAGUGCUGGGCAAGACCGGUGCCAGCCGCCGCGGUAAU